UGGGAUCUAUCGACCUUGAUAGAUUAGGAGUGAUCCUACGUGAUUUAUAAGACUAAGUUCGAAAGAUCUUGGCCAGGGCAGUUUUGAAAAAAGAGUUUUCCAAUCUCGAACUUGAGUUAAAUAAAUUUGACAUAAGACAGAUGAUGGGAUUUGACGAGUUAUCCAUAACCUCCAUCAUGUCGGGAUCCACGAUAAAGAUACUGUAUCAUACGCUAACUGCACCUAAAGGUUCAUCUAUUCCGUUCUGCUGAGUUGCCACUACAUGCUGCUAGGUGUCACUAGUGGAUUGUGAAACUCAAAGGCAUUCACUUGAUGAUAAAUGAACCCUGAAGAGUAGAGUUGAAAUUGUUUCAACCCAUUGAAAGAAGUUUCCAUGAUAUUGUGAUGGAGAUCACAAUAUAUCUCACUACCAGACAGAAUAAAACCUAUGGAGACACACAUUAGAGGUUUUGAUCGUUCCGAUGGUUGGAUUGCGAUUUAGAAUCGCAAUAGAUCUUGAUUGUCAAUUUGAUUGACAAUUGGUUUAACCCACUAAGAGUUAGUGAGUUAACGAAGAAAGAUUUGCAAUUGGAUUGCAAUUUAAUUGAUUUAAUUGGACCUAAUUAAAUUAGGCUUAACCUUAUUG
rnacentral:lncRNA from 1 species